rnacentral:lncRNA from 1 species
GUCACUUAUUUUAGGACGAAGGGAGUAAUAUGUUCAGUAUCAAAUAAGCAUAUUGUGACGAUAUAUAUCAUAACACUAAUAUAGAGUUAUACACCAUGGCUUUAAUUAAAUAAAUAAAAAACCAGAAAUGGUCCCACGCAAGCAUUCAUUGUCCCUGAGGCGUCAGACGGACAGAAAGAAAGAAAGCGGUCAAACCACAGAUCGAGUACGGCUGCUUCCUCGCUGGCGUACAUUAUAUAGCACCCCGGCUGCGAAGCACGUGAUAAAACACAAGAAAGGAACGACGACUUGUCUUGCUCAGUCAAGAGAGAUACUAUAUCAACACUAGUUUUAAUCAAACACAAAGAUAUAUAGAACCAGCAUGGGCAAUAUCUGUUCCCAAAAAAUGACUCAGAAAACAAAGACACGUCAAAAAAAAAAAUGUUUCGAGUCCUUUUCAUCGAUCGGGUGCAUCUUAAGCAAGAAAACUAACCAAAGCAUGCGUGGGAUCUAUCAUGCAUUUUGCAUAUGCAUUCAUAUACGUAUAUAUGACAUCAAGAAAUGCACGUAGCUUUCUUAAACCCGGCCAGUAUGUACUCCCUCCGUCUCAAAUUUAUCUAAAUAUGACGUAUCGAUAUAUUAAAAUACGUCCAAAUACGUGUAAUAAAAAAUCAUUUAAUGUGGAAUAAGAGUAUAUAUACACAGUACUACUACAUCUU